CUUCCAAAAGACCGAUCUUACCCUUCCUUCUCUUUACAGCUUUACUUACAGUUAGACUACAUGUGUAUUUUAGACAUUUUACUUAUCCUUGGAUCAUCCACCUACAAACGGGUAGAACCCAUAUCUAUUUCAGUUCUUUUUAGUGCUUGGGUUGGAUUAUCCGUGACCAUACGGGUUAUAACAGUUUUAAAAAAGCACGUAACUUUCAUCUUAUUUUUCUCCAACUGCCACCUUUCACGCACAACACUAUUAUCUUCUCUAUCAGUUUGAAAUUCAAAUUCCUUGAUUCGUGGAGGCUUGAUUUGAUACCUUCCAAUCGUAGCCUUGGUUGCAACACUUUCCGGUGGCGUCCUUGCCGGCUUCUUCAUCAACAUGUCCGGUUGGUUAUUUGCCUUCCACAGUUCACAUUUAUGUCAUCUUCCUUCACGCACUGAUGAUCUCAACGUCCACUCCGUCUUUUGUCUCCUUCCGGGAGUAAUGGUUAGUCUACUGCAUACGAUCUUCAUUAUCUUCUAAUAAUGUUAUCUGUUUGUUCUUUGUUGUCAGAAAAACGUCGGCCUGAGCAACGGUGACGUGCAGAUCAGAGGCACAAUUUCAGAAAACUCGAAUUCCAACAUUCGAACAUCAGGUUUUACGAUCAAUCUUUCUUGGCUUCACAUUCUAUGAUGUGUCUCAUUGGAGCAUCAUGCAGGUUAUGUAUUUGAUUAAUGAGUAUAUACGUUUAAACUGUGAUGCCAAUUUAUUGUGUUUUGGAAAUCUGCACGGCGUGUAUAACAGGAUUGUCUAGCCUUAACACACCUUCUCUGUAUAAAGCUCAUUCCCAAUAUGCUUUCAGUAGCGGUCUAUCGUCAUCGCCAAGUCACGUGAACAUCUGGUGUUUUAGAUUGUUAACUCCAUGUUUAUGGUUGAUGUUCAAAUUGGUGCAUGGUUGCGUAACCCGAUCCUCUGUCCAUUGUAUUGAAUAGGAUAUGAAAGCAUAGUCACGGAUGAAGGCUCAUUUUUGACUCCUCCGCAGUGGAAGCUACGUGCUCUACAAUCUUCAGGAAAUACCUAUAACAGACCUCUCUCUGGGUAGGAUUUUGGAACAAAGAGCAAGUAAAAUUAAUAAGCAGCAUUCCCUUCCCUCAAGUACGCACGUAGAGACAUAUAGCAACAUACUCCAUCAGAUGUAUGCUCUUCUGGUAGAUCAUUCCAGCUGCAUGAUCAUCUCGCACCCAGGAAUGGCGUGGCGACGGGGUCCUACCACAUUUCCUGCAAAGAUAGAAGGCUUGCCACAUUUCUUGGUGACUUGAAGUACGCUUACAGCUUUGGUCACAAUCCGACGAGACUUGCUUCUGCACUUUCUUGCAGCAUGGAUCUAACUUGAUGUAGAGUAGGUGAUGAGGGAAGACUAGGAUUACAGGUGGCAAGCAUUCCGGAAAAUCUGGGAUGACUAAGUGGAAGCAGGUGACGAAGAGGUGAUGAGGGAGUGACGUGGCUGCCGUAGGGAUAUGGGGUUACGGCUGGAGUUGAGAGGAGUGAGCUUCCGGGAGGAACUGUAGGGAGGUCUGCUACAGGGAGGGAAACCAUGCAGGGUAGUACGCCGUAGGGCAUAAGGUAUGGAGGGUUGUAAGACAUAUUGGAACGUACUUGCUAUCACCCAUAGUAGCUUCUUUUGUUGCUCUGGUCCUAGGAUUUUCAAGUUGGUGCGUGGCAUACUUACGGCAUCAUUGUACAGGGGUGCUAACGGCUUUUUCGCAGGCUGUAUGGAUAUAUAGCCGUAGCCAUGACAGUUUUAUAGGUUAUCAAUAUCAUUGAUGGGAGCAGGUUUUCUGUUGAAUGAUAUAUCCAGACCGACCCAUUUUUAUAAUAUAGUCCAUAAGGUUUUUAAAGGAAAGAAUUUUAAAGUA